rnacentral:misc_RNA from 1 species
GUCGAGGCAGGAGACGUCGAAGUUUCGUCCAGAAGGCACAGCCUCAACACGCUUCUAUACAUCCCCUAUAAAUAAGUAUCUACGGUGCCACAGGAAGCGUUUGUUUCAGGUGGUGAUUGUGAAAGGGAUCACUCGACUAGACCAUGGCAGACCCGUUUCUAGAUGUCGGUAAUCCGCUGGAGCUGGAGGUGACUCGGCUUACGCAGGAGAACCGCGAGCUUCGUCAAGAGAACGCAAGGCUUCGUGCGCGGAUUAGCUUAACCGCCACCCCCUCAGAGACGGCAUCGAAUGCCGUCAGCGAGCGAUCCACACUGCGCAGGGCUGACGACACAGCCGCUGUACCCGUCGGAACAUCGCCAGGGGCGAAGCCGAUAGACAAGCCCGGCGGCGCGCUUUCGCACCGCUUCACACGAGCUGCAGAGACUUCGAGCCCAAAGCAGCAUAAGCAGCAGGCGGUGUCUACCGCGCGCAUUGAGGAGGCGGUUCAGCGAGUCAAGAAGGAGCUACGCGGGGAGGUGGAGAAGUACCAGAAGGCGGCUGAGACGAAGGCAUCGCAGAUGGAGCAGCUCAAGCAGCAAUUCGAGCUGUUUGUCACGACCACCUGUGAGCGAGAGGCCGCAUAUGAGCUCGUAUACAUGCAGGUGUUUCGAGAGUUGGAAGAGCAGCGGGCCCUGGCUCGAAUUGCGCAGGCGCAGCUGGAGGAGCAGCGACUAGAGGCAGUCGAGAUGCGCACUUCGCUGCAGGCCGCCGCCGCAGCGGCUGCGGCACCCUCGAAGUGCAGCACCUUGGUCUCAUUAUCGCCGAGUCCGCCUUCCAAGUCAGAGGAUGUCGCAGUGGCGUCAUCAUCCUCUGCGGCUCGGCCAGUGAAGAGGUGUCGCACCGGCAAGACUGCUACGCACGCCGAUGAUGGUUAUAAGUCGAACGCGACGGAGGCCCAGACAACUCAGGAGGAGGUAGUGGAAGUGCAGCAGGAAGUCGCAAUGACAGCGCCCAACGCAACGCCCGAGCCGCGACAGCUGAGGAUUGUUCAGGGUGGUGCAGCUCUUCGUGCUGACAGCAAGACCUCUCGUCUCAAGCGUCCGCGCGCCAGCUCCGCCAUGAGCGUGUCGUCAGCGACUCGCUCGACACGCACGAGGCAGAGCGCUGCCGCCGUCGCGCAGCUGCAUAUGCCUGCUUCUCCGGUGUUCGCCGCCGCUUCCGUGAGUGCAGCCGACAUCUCAGUGGGAGUUGCUGUGACAUCCUCCUCAGGAACGGCUGCGACCGCGUUCCCUGCAGCUGCUUCCGCAUCAUCCCCUGCACGGCGGACGGCAAGCGAUGCUCUGGGCGAUCUCUGGACCCUCCUCGCCCGUCACACAGAAGCCACUCACGGCUUUCUACCUCUGUGGCAGCACCUUGCCCGCCUCCGCGGUUCAGACCGCUUGGCCGCGCUGCGGGUUAUGAUACCCCUCCUGCUUCACUUGCUGGGCCCUGCCGAUGCGACGAUUCCGCUUGUUUUGCCUGCGCCUCUCUCGGCCUCUGUCGCUGCCCCGCCCACCUCUAUCACGGUGCUGGCGACGGCGAUCCGCCUCCUGGAGGUGCAGCUAGAAAGUGAAGCGCAGCAGCAGCGCGGCGCCGCCGUGAGCCGCGCAGACGCCACCGCCCAGCACUGCUCCGCGCUCUUUCACUCUCUCUUUUACCGCAUCUGUGUGGCGACGCUGCGACGAUGGCAGACCGCCGAAGCCGGGGCUGACGCCGUCGAUAACUGGGCGACGGCGCUCAUCCACUUGUAUGGCUUCCAGCCCGCCUUGUCGAAGCUUGUGCAGUAUACCAACUCCACCAUCGCCUACGAGCGCACGCACCUAGCGCACAGCUGGGUCACGUACACGGCCCAGGCUAUCUUUGCGCAAUGCCUCACAUCAUCGUCCACCUCUUCCGCCGAGGUGGCGGUGGCGCGCUGGCGAGAGCUAUGUGACAGCAUCGGCUGGAGCCCUCAUUCCCUGCCUCUGGAGAGACUCGAAGCGGCAGCGGCGCGCUGCGUCGCGCGAACGCGAGUAGGUCUCGGCUCCUUCACCGCCGCCUGCGCUGAAGAGGCGCUGCUCUCGCUCCGCCUCGUUGUCCUUUACCGAGGCUUUGACCACAUGGAGCGUAUAGCAGCGCUGCUGGAAAUGCCGGGAGUCCUGCCGAUGGUGAUCACGAAGGAAAUUUAUGCGGAGCUGGUGAGCUUGGCCGUGAUGGAUCGAGCUCCGUUUCGUACCACCGAUGCUAUUCAACACGCCCUGCGUCUGCUGAGGGAGUACGUGCAGGAGGUUUCCCCGGAGCGCUGCACCUCGGCAGAGCACUUUGUGAGCGUGCCACGUCUCAGCCACCUGCUGGCGGCGCUGGCGCUGCUGCGUGUGGAGUCAACGAAUACCGCAGCCACCGCAAGAAGUACCGAGACUGACUCUGCGUUCUGCGAGGCCGUUCAGGAGGGUCGCCAGACCGCCCUUCGAUGGCUCCAAGCGCAGAAGGUGGCCCUCAAUAUGGUGCGCCAGAGCGCCGCGCUGGCACGCGACCGCCAGCUGCUUCUCCGAGACACAGUGCUGGGCCAGCGCCUCUUACGCGACGCGAGCGCAACGGUGCACUCCUAGCCCCGCUCCCUCCCUUCCGUUUCGCUGGCGUGACUUCACGCAGUCUUCGUAGGCGAUUCCCUGAGCAAGAGGGCGGGGGGCAAGCGGAGGGAAGAACUUUAGCUCGUGCCGUAUGUGUGUGAAUGCCCGUGGGCCGUCAUCGAAGACACUUCGAAAAAAGUGAAAGCAAGUGAUACAGAGCAGCUCGAGGUCUGGGUGCGUAAGGGGCGGGGGCACAGGAGCGUGCGCGUGACUGCGGUGCCUCUUCGAGGCACGUACACAGACGGCGCUGCGAUUAAACUGACGUGCGUGUUCCGCCAUCGGUUAUGGCUGUGGCAUGCGCCCCAGCAAUUCCCGCAUCUGCGCCACCAGCUUGCUAGCCGAGUUCCUGUCUUGCGUCGUAAGGGCACACAGUCACAUGAAAGCUGACGAGACAAGCACGGAAACCUGAAGAGUGA